UCUCUCCCUCCCCUCUCCCUCUCUCCAGAAAAGGAGAGAGGCUUCCCCAUCUCCCUCUCUUCCGGAGAUCAGCUGAUUCCGUCUUCAAGGUCUGCUGGAAAUCAGCGACAAACGAUUUCUUUCAAGACGCUGAGAAAGGUCACUGGAAAGACGACAAGCGAAGGAAAAUAUGACGCCGUUGGACCAAGUCAAACAGAUCCGCAGGUCUUCUUCGCUUCCCUGACACGAGGUUAUUGUUGGUCAUUGUGUCUCUGCUCGUGACCCUGGCACUCGAGACGAAGGCCCACGAGACGAAUAGGGGAGGAAGCA